rnacentral:rRNA from 1 species
ACACGUCUACAUUAGAUACCCCGGUAGUCCCAGCCGUAAACUAUGCGCGUUAGGUGUAUCGGUGACCACGAGUCACCGAGGUGCCGAAGGGAAACCGUGAAACGUGCCGCCUGGGAAGUACGGUCGCAAGGCUGAAACUUAAAGGAAUCGGCGGGGAGCACCACAACGGGUGGAGCCUGCGGUUUAAUUGGACUCAACGCCGGGAAGCUCACCGGAUAAGACAGCGGAAUGAUUGCCGGGCUGAAGACUCUGCAUGACUAGCUG